rnacentral:ncRNA from 2 species
CGCGCCUGCUAGGGGUGCCGCGACAACGAAGUCGCCGCGGCUGAGAAAGUCCCUUCGAACCUGAUUGAGGUAAUCCUCGCGCAGGGAAGCAUGAGCACAGCGAC